rnacentral:tRNA from 1 species
ACCCACUUGCUGGAAUUGGUAGACAGGCUAGAUUUAGGCUCUAGUAUCUUAGGAUGUGAGAGUUCAAGUCUCUCAGUGGGUA